AAAAAAACGAACUGAUGAUAUAUUGAGUAGGAAUCUCAUUGAGCUUCAGUCAUUCGUUGCUUUGAAAUCAAUUUUAAUCUCCCACUGAUUAUAACCUU
rfam:Drosophila ficusphila unplaced genomic scaffold scf7180000454113, whole genome shotgun sequence